UAAGAGGUGUCAGAGCAGAAAUAGGACUGAUGGGCCGUUUUCUUUUACCCACGCAGAUAACUAAACUCUCCAGGAUCUACAAGGAAGUGAGACCUAAUCGCAUACCCAAGAUUAGGGGUGAGGGCUUCAUUUCAGGAGCUGAGUGGUAUGGUCCAAGGUCAAGCCUUUUGAUAUGGACUCCAUAGAGGGCGCUGAAAAAGUGAAUUGGACAAGACUCCAGAGCAGGUACUCUUGAGAUGGGGACAGGCUCAGCCUUGGAUUAAAGACAACAGUGAGAAUAGAACUGGAGAUGCAGGCCCAGGAGAGUGAAAAGAAGGAACAAGAGAAGACUAAGGAGAAAGAGAAGGGAA